rnacentral:rRNA from 1 species
CCAGCUCCAAUAGCGUAUAUUAAUACUGUUGCAGUUAAAACGCUCGUAGUUGAACUUAGAAUUAUUACAAGUUGUUUCACUUGAUUGUGAAAUGCUUGCUUAAUUCUUAUCUACUGGAUACUCUGCUCUGUACUUAAUUGUAUGGAGUAUCGCCUAGCCAGCGGAGCAGAGGUUUGUAAAUUCCUAAUUUUGCACAAAGAAGUAAAAUUCUGACAUGUGAUUUUGGGAUUGAAUUUAUGGAUCUUUGUGGGGUGCCAGUUAAUUUACCUUGAGUAAAUUAGAGUGUUCAAAGCAGCCUCUUGGGGCUUUGAAUAAUUUAGCAUGGGAUAAUGAAAUAGGAUUGGAUUCCUAUUUGUUGGUUUGAUGAAUCCAAUAAUGAUUAAGAGGGACAGUUGGGGGCACUCAUAUUAAGUGGUUAGCGGUGAAAUGUGUUGACCCACUUAAGAUGAACCAAAGCGAAAGCAUUUGCCAAGGAUGUUUUCAUUAAUCAAGAACGAAAGUUAAGGGAUCGAAGACGAUUAGAUACCGUCGUAGUCUUAACUAUAAACCAUGCCGACCAGGGAUAUGAGUAGUUUAUUUCUGAAUCACUCAGGUGAGUCAGAUACUUCUCCUUAUGCACCUUGUGAGAAAUCAUAAGUUUUUGGGUUCUGGGGGAAGUAUGGUCGCAAGGCUGAAACUUUAAGGAAUUGACGGAGGGGCACCACCAGGAGUGGAGCGUGCGGCUUAAUUCGACUCAAC